rnacentral:misc_RNA from 1 species
GAUGAAGAACGCAGCGAAAUGCGAUAAGUAAUGUGAAUUGCAGAAUUCAGUGAAUCAUCGAAUCUUUGAACGCACAUUGCGCCCGUCAGAAUUCUGGCGGGCAUGCCUGUUCGAGCGUCAUUACGCCCCUCAAGUCCCCUGUGGACUUGGUGUUGGGGAUCGGCGAGGCUGGUUUUCCAGCACAGCCGUCCCUUAAAUUAAUUGGCGGUCUCGCCGUGGCCCUCCUCUGCGCAGUAGUAAAACACUCGCAACAGGAGCCCGGCGCGGUCCACUGCCGUAAAACCCCCCAACUUUUUAUAGUUGACCUCGAAUCAGGUAGGACUACCCGCUGAACUUAAGCAUAUCAAUAAGCGGAGGA